UCCAGGAGAAUGCUGGGCCUUUCCAGAUUUCCCGGGACGUUUAUCCAUCGCACUGUCCCACAAAGCUACAGUCACUCAUGUGUCCCUGGGUCAUAUUCCCAAGAUUUUUUCCCCAACUUCUUCAAUUUCUAGUGCUCCUAAAGAAUUUUCUGUCUAUGGAAAGAAGAAUUUAGAAGAUGAGGAAACUCAUUUGGGAACUUUCCUAUAUGAUGAAGCUGGAGACCGAAUACAGACCUUCAAACUUCCUGCUGAUAAAGUUGGUUCCUUCCGCUACGUGACUCUACAGGUGAACAGCAACUGGGGUCAUCCGGACUACACCUGCCUCUAUAACUUUAGAGUGCAUGGUGAACUUGCUAAAUGAAGAGGACAAGGAGGAAAGGGAUAAAAGAGAUGAGAGGAUUUUUUUUUUUCACCUCUCACAUACACUUUUA